rnacentral:rRNA from 1 species
UACGUAGGGGGCAAGCGUUGUCCGGAUUUAUUGGGCGUAAAGAGCGUGUAGGCGGCUAGGUAGGUCCGUUGUGAAAACUCGAGCUCAACCUCGAGACGCCGGUGGAAACCAUCUAGCUAGAGGCAGGUAGGGGAGAGUGGAAUUCCCGGUGUAGUGGUGAAAUGCGUAGAUAUCGGGAGGAACACCAGUGGCGAAGGCGACUUUCUGGCCUGUUCUUGACGCUGAGGCGCGAAAGCUAGGGGAGCAAACGGGG